rnacentral:lncRNA from 1 species
CACACAGACAUACUGUCACAUGCAAUGAAGUCUGUCCUGAACCUGCGUGUGUGUGUGUGUGUGUGUGUGUGGCUUCAGUGCUCCAGCUCCACAGAGCAGUGGGCUCUGACUGCCGCCUGCCUUCAGAGACACGACGGUCCCCCGCACCAGGACCAGACAUGUGCCCCCGCCAACACCCACCCGACCCGGUCACAUGACUCCCAGAGCCGCUCCGAUUGGACGGGCCGCUCGUGUCACUCCCAGUCACAGUGUCUGGAGGAAGGGCCCAUCUGCCAUGAUCCUCAGGAGGAAGAGGAGGAGGAGGAGGAGGAGGAAGAGAAGCCCCUGUUUAAACCCUGGUAAGAUGAGGGGAGUAGAUCCCCAGACUCCUCAUUAAAUAUUAGAUCAAUAAGCCUCCUCUGUGCCUCCCCCCCCAACCACCAAACACACCCCUAUCCUGACCUUAACUCUAUUACACUAUUGAUCUGAGUGGGAGGCCUGGUGUGUUUAUUAGGGCUAGUGUUAGGCUAAUGUGUUCACAGAUGGAGGUGUGGUUUUCAUUGUGAGUGUGUGGGGGGGGGGGGGGGGAAAGAGUGGUCACUGCAUAUUAAGGCAUCUAGGAAAUACAUUUUCUUCUGUCUCUAAAAGCCAAAUGGCUCCUGUCCAUACCCCAACACUGGCCAAAGGCCGUCUGAGGAAGGCAUAGCGUUGAGCUUAAUGUUCUGCUGCUCCGCAGUGAGUGUCCUUGUCCUGUGUCAUUUUAUAUUCUUCUGAAAGUAUCAACCAGACGUUACCUUGAUCCAUACGUGACCCAGACUUUGGAGCAAAAGCUAUAACAACCCAACCUAACCUGAGCUAUGGAAGGAUAGAAGGGUCAAAUUCCAUUUCAAGAACACAAUGCUUUUUCUUGUGAUUUUCGAUAUAACAAAAACGGACCUAUUUAGCCUUCCGGAGCUCAGGUUGAUGGGUGUGCUAAAGGCAUGUGGUAAAGGUGUGUAGGUGUGUGUUCUGUUUAUUUGAUGGUUAUUUAUGUAGGUCCAGUGUGAUCCACGCCCAGGGUAUGAGUUCAGCCUGUUUCUCCUUCAUAUUCUUGCAGUAGUAACUCUUUUAGUCCAAAUAAAGUAGUUUGGUCGUUGAGUGAGUCUAAAUUG